CCUACGGGGGGCUGCAGUGGGGAAUAUUGGACAAUGGGGGCAACCCUGAUCCAGCCAUGCCGCGUGUGUGAAGAAGGCCCUCGGGUUGUAAAGCACUUUCAGUGAGGAAGAACGCCUGGUGGUUAAUACCCAUCAGGAAAGACAGCACUCACAGAAGAAGCACCGGCUAACUCCGUGCCAGCAGCCGCGGUAAUACGGAGGGUGCGAGCGUUAAUCGGAAUUACUGGGCGUAAAGCGCGCGUAGGUGGCUUGAUAAGCCGGUUGUGAAAGCCCCGGGCUCAACCUGGGAACGGCAUCCGGAACUGUCAAGCUAGAGUGCAGGAGAGGAAGGUAGAAUUCCCGGUGUAGCGGUGAAAUGCGUAGAGAUCGGGAGGAAUACCAGUGGCGAAGGCGGCCCUCUGGACUGUCACUGACACUGAGGUGCGAAAGCGUGGGUAGCAAACAGGAUUAGAUACCCUGGUAGUC
rnacentral:rRNA from 1 species